rnacentral:rRNA from 1 species
UACGGGGGGGGCAAGCGUUGUUCGGAAUUACUGGGCGUAAAGGGCUCGUAGGCGGCCCUCUCAGUCGGAUGUGAAAUCCCCAGGCUCAACUUGGGAACGGCAUCCGGUACUGGAGGGCUUGAAUUCGGGAGAGGGAUGCAGAAUUCCAGGUGUAGCGGUGAAAUGCGUAGAUAUCUGGAGGAAUACCGGUGGCGAAGGCGGCAUCCUGGACCGAGAUUGACGCUGAGGAGCGAAAGCUAGGGGAGCAAACGGG